rnacentral:misc_RNA from 1 species
AACGCACAUUGCGCCCGCCAGUAUUCUGGCGGGCAUGCCUGUUCGAGCGUCAUUUCAACCAUCAAGCCCCCGGGCUUGCGUUGGGGCCCUGCGGCUGCCGCAGACCCCUAAAACCAGUGGCGGGCUCGCUGUCACACCGAGCGCAGUAGCAAUAUCUCGCUCUGGGCGUGGCGCGGGUGCUUGCCGUAAAACACACUACUUAACAAGGUUGACCUCGGAUCAGGUAGGAAUACCCGCUGAACUUAA